GAAAAGCACAAACAAAUGAAGAAGGAUCCACCACAGGCAGGAGAGACCCCUGGACAAAACUGGCAACAUGACACCAGAGACAAUGACAGCGCAGAUGAUGGUUUGCCAUAAUCAUGCCAGUUCAGCCUGUGAAUGCAACCUAACCCAUGAUGCUCCACACCAUCUCCGUCUGUUAUUAAAUCAGUUUGGCCACAGGAAUGAUAUUCUGAACACUCUUAGAUCCAGUACCUAAUAUGGUCCCUUUCAAUGUUAUGCCACUAUUGCAA
rnacentral:lncRNA from 1 species